rnacentral:rRNA from 1 species
CGACGUGAGUAACCUGCCUCUAAGAGGGGAAUAACAUUCUGAAAAGAAUGCUAAUACCGCAUAACAUAUAUUUAUCGCAUGGUAGAUAUAUCAAAGAUUUAUCGCUUAGAGAUGGACUCGCGUCCGAUUAGUUAGUUGGUGAGGUAACGGCUCACCAAGACCGCGAUCGGUAGCCGGCUGAGAGGUUGAACGGCCACAUUGGGACUGAGACACGGCCCAG